rnacentral:rRNA from 1 species
GACGAACGCUGGCGGCGUGCUUAACACAUGCAAGUCGAACGGAAAGGCCCUGCUUUUGUGGGGUGCUCGAGUGGCGAACGGGUGAGUAACACGUGAGUAACCUGCCCUUGACUUUGGGAUAACUUCAGGAAACUGGGGCUAAUACCGGAUAGGAGCUCCUGCUGCAUGGUGGGGGUUGGAAAGUUUCGGCGGUUGGGGAUGGACGCGCGGCUUAUCAGCUUGUUGGUGGGGUAGUGGCUUACCAAGGCUUUGACGGGUAGCCGGCCUGGGAGGGUGACCGGCCACAUUGGGCCUGCGAUACGCCCCAGACUCCUACGGGGGGCAGCAGUGGGGAAUAUUGCACAAUGGGCCGAAGCCUGAUGCAGCAACGCCGCGUGCGGGAUGCCGGCCUUCGGGUUGUAAACCGCUUUCGCCUGUGACGAAGCGUGAGUGACGGUAAUGGGUAAAGAAGCACCGGCUAACUACGUG